AUUUUUGUAAUGAAUUGACUUCUGAUUAUUGCACGUUUUAGCUUCUUUUUGAAGAAAUUUGCUUGAAUUUGGCAUCGUUUUUGUGCAAUUUGAUGUUCUAGACGAAUUCCUAAAGAAAAAUCUGGCGGAGCUUCCAUGUUUUUUACACAAUUUUAAAGAAAUUAGAAGUAAAUGUAUUUAAAAAAAAUAGAAUAAAUGUUUUAUUCCUGAUUUUUUUUUAAUUUCAAAAAAUUGAUAAAGGACUUAGGUUGUGUUAAGAUAUGAAAACAACUAAGAUUUUGUGAGAUUAAAAGCAUAUCUUAUUUUCUAUAAAUGUUUAGUUGAACGUUGGAUCCUGUUUGUGCAAUUUGUGAUUUCAGAAAAGUCCAAGAAGGAUGUUUGGAGAAUUCCCUAAGCUUUGGGCCAUUUUUGGGGGGAGAUGUCAGAGAAAUUUCUGAAAGCAUUUCCGUCACCCAAAAUUCAAUAUUUUGACAACUGCGGGGCUCUAUCUUCCAGUAUUGGACAAGAAAAGUACGCUGAGGUCGAUUUUCAAACAAAAUGCUCAAGUUUGGUGGUGUGAAUCUUUCCUUCUAGAGUGCGGAUUGAGCUUAAAUUUUUACCGGGCAUUUACAAUAACUUGGAGCUUGAUAUGAAAAAAAAAAAACCUUUUAAAAGCAAACUUGCAACCCUGAAAACCAAAAUAUCGCAAAACACCAGUUUUGAAAAGAAAACGUUAAUGGUUAAUAUUAGAAUACGGUCAUACCUUGAGUUACGUAACCUUGAUAUAACGUAACUUUUAUUGUGGUUCUAUUUUUUCGAGAUUUAUAGGCUAAGGUAUGCGCACAGCAAAAUCUAGCCAAAGAAAAUCAAGCAGUAAUAGUGCAUUCUAACUUAUUCCCAAAUUGAAAGCCAUACAAAAAAGCAUUAAUUUACUUUAAAUCAACAUCAGGACAUUGUUGAUUUGACCUAUUAAAUAUAUCCGUCGUCUCGAGCUUUGCGCUUGAAUCCUACCGUAAAGUUUUGCACAGUACCUCCCAUCGCUUGCCAAGAAGCUUUUACCACCUUGUUGUCAAAAUCAACCUUAUUUUUUGAUAAAAGAUCCAUUUCUUGACAUUUUUUGAAGGUUCCAAUUCAUGAUUUCUCAAUAUCUUUCAAUAGGUGUGAGUUUUGAGGUGUAUAAGACGCUUUUUGGAAAAAUGCGGUGCAAUUUUCACAUAGUUUUCUACAUACAAACGCAAGGAUUCUCCUCCAUAAACAGGACAAAAAAAUCAAUCAAAAUCAAUAAACAAUAUCUGAGCGGUUGAAUAAGAGGUGUCAGCCAUUUUCCCUGACAUUCCUCGUAGUGCAAAAGGUGAUUUGUUGUACAUGUAUUUUCAAAAGCUCGGUUUUUUAAGCCACAAUUACAUAUUGUUGACCAAACUAUGUAUUUCUUGCCAAACUUUGAUUAUUCAGGGUGUCGACUUAAUUUUGAAAAUCAAAUUCCCUGACUUUCCCGGACUUUUCGGUUUAUUUCACUGAAAAUUCCAGGUCAUAUAAAUCUAAGGAUGUCUACUCAUGAGAUAAAAUAAAAUUCUAUGAAUUUUCCCAGUUUUUCUAGGAGUGGAAAAAUAGAAGAAAAAAACAAGGCAAGUAUACCAAUUUUUUUUCCAAGAAAUUCAAGGCAUAUCGGAAGUUUUUUCUUCCGAAUUUUUCUACCUGAUACGCUAUGCUGGAAAUAACUUUUGACAUGUCCACCAAAAACGCCGUAAUUUAGUUGAAAAUCCAUUCAGAAGGUCAAUUAACAUUUCUCGCGCUUAGUAUCAUACGGGCGUAUCUACAGUGAUCUAUUUCUCUUCAUCGAUUUUUUCUUUGGUCAAUAACUUGGCCGGCAAAUCAUUUUCAGUUGUUUUUGUUGUUUUAGAAGCCAGUCCUAGUCGUCAUUUACCGAAAUACACCGACAGAUCGUUCGAAUAUUGGUCGUAGUUUCCGGAAUUAUGCGAAGAGAAAAUCGAUGAAGAGAAAUCGUUCAUUGUAGAUACGCCAGUAUGAUACUAAACGCGAGAUUUUUUUAAAUAACGCCAAAAUGACAAUGACAGCAUAUUCGAUGGACGUUAUCCCCAGAACAUCAUUAGAAUGACAUCUUGAUUUUGUUCUAUUAGUUAAAGCUACUCCAGAUGUUCAGAUCCCGUGGCUGCAGUUUUGUCUCAAAUUUAGCCUGUAUGUUAAAUUUCAUAGUGAAAAAAAUCUCAAAUAUAAAAUCUGGAUUUCCACCGAGCACUCGACAAAAAUCCUUGAACAAGAAGUUUAUCCAAAAGUUCUGCAAUAUUAGUACUGAUACUGAUGUAUUUAAAUAAGUACACUAAAUGAAUUGGAAACAUCUGAAUGAAGCUUAUAAACUUUCGUCAUUUGUUAAAAAGACCUUUAUGAAUCCUGUAACUUUCUAUGGAAAAUUCUCUAAGAGGUUUGCCACGAUGCCGGCAAACUCACUUUGAACUCCUUUAGAAGUUUCGAAAUUUCACCAGAUUCAUUUUCUAGAAAUUAUGUUUUAACAAUAGUUUAGCUCCAUCAAACACUUUUGCAAAGUCGUAUGGAUUUUCUUGCUAAACUCUACCUGAUACAACUAGCACUGAUUGGAAAUCUGUUGAAUCCUAAAAUAAGAUUACAGGAUGUCUAACAGAUUAUGUUUCAGAAAUUCUUCCCAAAUAAUUUCAAAAACUGGGAUUUGCAACAUGAAUUCCACAUGAACAACUUUAGGAUAUUGAUAGUUCAGUCUUCGUUACAUAUUAGACACAUUCUACCGUGACGUGUUGUAACGUCACGUUACUAAUUCCCAUUUUUAACAUACUUUCCCAAUGAAAACUAACUGUUCAACGAAUCAUACUUAUUGGAAAUUUUACAAGGAAUCAAUAUUUUAGGGAUUACGGUCGACUUUUCGAGUUAUAGUGGAAAAUGUGACAGAAAAGGCGUCGAAACGUUGUAACGUCACGGUAGAAUGUGUCAUUAUCAUCUUGAAAUAGCUAAAACUUUUCAAUUGCUUUUCAGGAAUGGAUUUUCAACAUUUUCAGAAGUCUGUCUAGAAUCUUUUCAUCAACCAGUAUAAAAGAAAAUGUUUUUUUUUUCUGUUUUAAAUAUUGUGAUUUUAUCUUCUUUAGUCCCAAACAAUUUGCAAGUCUUUUGGAUCAUUGGUAAACUCGUCACUAGAUGCUUUCCAUAUUUUCAUCGGAAUUUUUGAUAAAGUUUCUUUACUGUAUACUUUUUAGAUCUUUAAAAAAGAACGGCAAGAUUUUGUGUUUUUUUAAGAGUUUAACUCACAUAUUUUCUUCAAGCAAAUAAACCUACAUAUAAUACUAUCUGGUACGCAUCAUUUAUGAUAUCAGACGUGUGCGUAAGUUAUCAACACAGAUAUUUUGCCAAGAAACAUUUUACAAGCUCACACAAAUUUUAAAUUUUUAUAAAUUUUCCACAGUUUGAGAACACGACAGAAAACUAUCAUGAAUCUUAGAAAAAAAAACCUAUGAACGCGAUUUCUCGGUAGGUGUAAAAUGCCACCAAAUGAUGAAAAAUUUCCAUUUGAAUCCUGUAAGGACUAUGCCAGGAGAUCACUAGAGAUGGCGUUUGAAUACAAAAAAAAGUAUUGGAAAAUUCCUGAAUGGCAUGCGAAAAGUCUGCUAAGGAUUUGGCAAGGAAAAUUUGCUAAACAUUUUUAGGAAAUUCACUAAGAAUUCUGUCAGGAAUCUGUGCAGAUAUCUUGUAAAAUAUUCCUUACAAACUUCACUUAAACCUUCAAUAAACUGAUUAAUAGUUUUCCACAAGGCCAUAAAUACAUCAACGGUCAAGGAACUUUUUUUUUGUAAAAGAAAAAUAUUGAAAGGAUUUGGCUAAAAUAUUAUAGACUUUGAUUUUUUUUUAGUUUAGAUAUCACCGUAGGCUAAAAAUACACUAAAAACGUGUGAAGUAUCUUGGAUAUCUAGUUCUCUGAUUGCAUAAGGCGUUGAUUGCCUUUAGAUCGUAGAUCUAGAAAGAAUCAUAAAAAGAAAUAGGCAGGGGAAUCCAAACCGGAAUUUCUGGAGGAACACUAUCGGGAGUUACUGUUAGCAUCCCUGCAUAAAUUUCCGAAGAAACCCAUCUGGAACAUCCGGAGAAAUCCAAGCAAAUAUUAUCGGAUCGGAUCGAAUCACUGGAGGAAUUCAUGGAAAAAUCUCCUUGACGAAGCUCCUGGAGAAAACCAAGCAGAUUAUGAUGAAUGAAAAUACUGAAUAAAACAGGGAUAACCAGGUAAACCCUAGAAGGAAAUCAUAGCAUUCCUGAUGAAAUUCUCGCCGGAAUAACUGGAAGAAUCCCUAUGGGAAUUUCUGAAGGAAUCACAGAACGAAUUCUUGGAAAAAAAAAAUCUCUAGAGGAAUUCCUUAAGGACCCUUUGAAGAAAUCCUUGGAAAAAUCCUAAAUGAUAUUUCUGGUGGAUUUCUAUCAGGAAUUUCUGGAGCAUUAUUAGGCAUUACAGGUCGGACUCGAUUAUCCGGAGUCAGGAUCUGGUGAUUCUCAAACAUAUAUCUGGGGAACGGAAUGCUCUAUAAAGCUGAAAUUUUGACAUUUUGUCAAGCCAACUUUGAUUAGUGAUCAGUCAAAAUUUCAGCUUCUUACAUCGUUUCGUUCGCAAGAUAUUAUUUUGGUAAGCGCCAGAACCCGACUCCGGAUAAUCGAGUCCGACCUGUAUUAGAGAAAUCCCAGCAGGAAUAACUGGAAGAAUUUCAGUAGAAACAUGUGGAUAUAUCAAAGGCAAUUGUUUUUUUUCAAAAAAAAAAAUACUUUAAAAACAAAAUUCGGGGAAAAAUUUUUACUUUGAUAUAACGUUACGAAAAUAAAAAUGAUUACAUUAUAUCGGGGUAUUUUAAAAAAGAACUGUUUUAUGUGAACAGUUUGUUCAGACAAGUUGUUUGUUUCGAUACAAAUAUUAGCAUUUCGGAGUUUUUUUUAAUCAAGAUUUACGAUCAUUAUCAAAAUAGUUAACAUAAAAAAAAUCUUACAUAUCAUUGUUCAAGUUCUUCUCAAGUGAAAUUUCAAAUUUUUAAAAGUGACCAGUUGUAAUUUGAAGUCAAUCUGUGAUUUAAAAGCUAAGAUUAAAACUGAAAGCUCUAAACUAGAGCAUUUUGUAUCAGAAUCAACGGAUGCGUGCUUUACUCUAUCCAGUACUGUAAAUCUUUUCAAGUAUUCAUUCGAAAUGUCCUAUCACAAAAUCCAGGGAUUUUGAAAGAACUGUGUAUGAAGUAGUGUGUAUAAAUAUAGUCAAAAAUUUCUAUUACUUCUCCUUUGCAAAAAAAAAAGAAUUUCUUUGAAGAAGAAUAAUCAGAAACGACCAGCAAACUCCAUCCAAUUCCGCUACUUGUGCUAAUCUUCGGAUAGAUAGGUCUGAUUCAUCAGCGACUUACAGAGUUCUUUAAAAAAAUUUUUUUUUUAUAGAUUUUUUAAGAAUAUUUGGAGAUUUUUAAAUCAAUAACUUUUUUAACUUUUUUCCAGUUCAAGUCUUCAAUGUUUGGAUUUUGGACCAUGUUUGGGGAAAAAUCAAGCGUUUUGAAAAAAAAAUCCAAUUGAAGUUUGUUUGAACAUUAAAACAAUUUUAUGAAAUGGGAGGUUUUAAAAAACUUUCUGGUGAAGUUUCUGAAUUACGAUUGAAAGAUAAGAAGAAAUUCAAUACAAAAUCGUAUGAAACUAUUAAAAUAGUUUUUUUUGCGAAUUUUAUUUACUUCACGCUUUAGGAGGAAUUCCCAGGGAACUAAACUUUUCCCAAAACAUUUGAAGGCGAUCCCAAGUAACAUGUUCAAAUCAAAUUGAGUAGAAGAGUAGUUAUUAGAAGUUUUUAUGAAGAUUUUCAAAGCCUCUGCAAGACUGAUUCGUUAUCAAAAUGUUACUUAAGAUAUGUCAACAGAUUACUUUUCUUUUCCUUUCUUUUACUUUUUCAAUUUUCAAUAUUUUUUAAAGACAAUUUGUGAGGAAUUUAAAUUGAUAUAAAACAAAAUCUGGCAGACUCACUAAAACAAGCUUCAGACAAAUUUCCACAAACCCUGGAUUGUUAUGAAAUAGUUAGAAAUAGCAAAAGAGACUUGAAAAUAAGUGAGAAACUAAAAAAACAGGUGUAAACAAAAAAAAUCUGGGGGAUUUUCUUACAAAAUAACAGCAAUUCAUAGAGCAAUAUAUUUUUUCUUCCAAUGAAAAGUAAACGAUUUGGAUACUGCCGACACAUAUCAAGACUUCAAACGUAUUCGAUUACUUUUGAAUAAAUUUGAUUUUUUUCAUCUGACAAAUAUAAUUUGCAGUCAGGAACAUUAUCUAGCGGUGAAAGAUAAAAAAAAAACUGAAGGGAUUUAAGCUAUAUCUCAGAUGAGUUUGAAAGGAAAG